rnacentral:ncRNA from 1 species
ACCCACCCUUUCGGGGACCUUGGUACAGGCAGGCCGGGGAAUCCCCUCUUUUAUCCACGGCGCGCUGGAUUCCAGCCGCCUGGGCUCACAAGAGCCCGUAUCGAUAUCCGGUCGCCGGCAGCCGAGCGACCCACCCUUUCGGGGACCUUGGUACAGGCAGGCCGGGGAAUCCCCGCUCUUACUCGUCCC